GUGCUGAUUGUAUUAUUUUCUGAAUGAAUCAAUUGAAUACAAAGAGUCCCUUUAAAUAGGAACUAACCCUAGCACUAAACAUGGAAACUAUAUUCUGUACAUAAAUACAAUAUAAUCACAAUAAUAUGGAAAUCAUAUCAAUCUCGGCUAAUACUCCCCCGCAGUUUGAACGAUCCGUGGGCAAACGGUCAAACUGGAUCGAAACGAUUGAAAAAGCUGCCGAGAUAGUCCUUUAGUAAAUAUAUCUGCAUACUGAAACGGAGCAGGGACAUGAGAAACCCGGACAUGUCCUAGGCGGACCUUCUCGCGAACAAAAUGGAUAUCGAUUUCUAUAUGCUUUGUACGCUGAUGUUGGACAGGAUUGUCAGACAGAUACACCGCAGAGACAUUAUCACAAAAAACGACCGAAGCCUGUAGGAGGGGUACAUGUAGCUCAAGAAGUAAGUUGCGUAACCAAGUGACUUCAGCAACGGCAUUCGCAACACCUCGGUAUUCAGCCUCUGCACUGGAACGCGAAACAGUGGGCUGGCGCUUAGAGGACCAAGACAGUAAAUUAUUUCCCAAAAACACACAAUAACCACUCGUGGAUCGACGAGAAUCCGGGCACCCGCCCCAGUCAGCAUCGGAGUAGGCAACCAAUGAUUGUGUAUUGGAUCGUGUCAUGCGGAUGCCAUAGUCCAAAGUCCCCUGAAUGUACCGAAGUAUGCGCUUCAUGAAAGCAUAAUGAGGAUCGUGAGGCUCGUGCAUAAAUAAACAAAUCUGUUGUACCGCAUAAGAUAGGUCUGGACGGGUAAAAGUGAGGUACUGAAGAGCUCCCGCAAGGCUGCGGUAAAGAGUUGGAUCAUGAAACAGAGGACCAUCCGUGGCACUUAAUUUAGACGAGAGAUCAACUGGAGUGGCACAGGGCUUACAAGAUGUCAUGUUAGCCCGAGCAAUGAUGUCUUUGGCAUACUGUGUCUGGUCCAAAAAUAGGCCAUUGGCUUGGCGUUUUUGGUAAACCACAAGGACCAUUCGUGCACUUUACUCUAAAGAUAAAAAUAAAUCAUCGUUUCAACACAUUUACACAUCAAAAUCACCUUUUCGUAUGAACUAAAUUGGAGAUC
rnacentral:lncRNA from 1 species